rnacentral:piRNA from 1 species
UGAUGUCUACAUUAACCACGACC